GGGACUUUGGUCUAGUGGUAUGAUUCUUGCUUUGGGAUUUCAUGUUCAUGAUUGCAAGAGGUCCUUGGUUCGAUUCCGAGAAGUCCCC